GACGAACGCUGGCGGCGUGCCUAACACAUGCAAGUCGAGCGGUCCGGUGUCUGGCACUGAGUAUUCGGGCAUGUACAGAAGCCAUGUGAUGCAACGGCGGCAGCGUACAUGCACAAACAGCCUUACUUGAGGCGGAAUCGAACUGAUUGGAAGUUUGUGCAUUACGCAUAUUAAGGAUAACACAUGGACAAAAGGGAGCACAUGGCACAUGCGAUGAAUACUGAGUGUUGGAUGCCGGAUAGCGGCGGACGGGUGAGUAACGCGUGGGCAACCUGCCUUUCACUGGGGGAUAACACAGGGAAACUUGUGCUAAUACCGCAUGAUAUCAUAUGGGGCAUCUCGUAUGAUCAAAGGAGAGAUCCGGUGGAAGAUGGGCCCGCGUCCGAUUAGCUGGUUGGUGAGGUAACGGCUCACCAAGGCGACGAUCGGUAGCCGGACUGAGAGGUUGGCCGGGCCACGAUU
rnacentral:rRNA from 1 species